rnacentral:rRNA from 1 species
AUUGAACGCUGGCGGCAUGCCUUACACAUGCAAGUCGAACGGCAGCACGGGUGCUUGCACCUGGUGGCGAGUGGCGAACGGGUGAGUAAUACAUCGGAACGUACCUUAUCGUGGGGGAUAACGCAGCGAAAGCUGUGCUAAUACCGCAUACGCCCUGUGGGGGAAAGCGGGGGAUCGAAAGACCUCGCGCGAUUAGAGCGGCCGAUGCCUGAUUAGCUUGUUGGUGGGGGAAAAGCCCACCAAGGCGACGAUCAGUAGCUGGUCUGAGAGGACGAUCAGCCACACUGGGACUGAGACACGGCCCAGACUCCUACGGGAGGCAGCGUUGGGGAAUUUUGGACAAUGGGGGCAACCCUGAUCCAGCAAUGCCGCGUGAGGGAAGAAGGCCUUCGGGUUGUAAAGCUCUUUUGUCAGGGAAGAAACACCGGCUCUAACACAGUCCGGGAAUGACGGUACCUGAAGAAUAAGCACCGGCUAACUACGUGCCAGCCGCCGCCGUAA